UACGUAGGGUGCGAGCGUUGUCCGGAAUUAUUGGGCGUAAAGAGCUCGUAGGCGGUGUGUCGCGUCGGCCGUGAAAACCUGGGGCUCAACUCUGGGCGUGCGGUCGAUACGGGCAUCACUUGAGUUCGGCAGGGGAGACUGGAAUUCCUGGUGUAGCGGUGAAAUGCGCAGAUAUCAGGAGGAACACCGGUGGCGAAGGCGGGUCUCUGGGCCGAAACUGACGCUGAGGAGCGAAAGCGUGGGGAGCGAACAGG
rnacentral:rRNA from 1 species